UGCGGUGCAGUUUUCUCUGCCCUCCUCAACCCUAAAAAACCGAAAAAUUCUCUCUUCAGUUUCUCUCGGAUCUCCGACGAUUUUUCUAUCUCCAUUAUUCAUCUAUUUUACAUCUCAAAAAACCCAAAAAAUCCCUAAAUUUUCGCUUACUUUUUCCUCCAUUGGGUUUUCUUAUCAAUAACAUCACAUCACAGAGAAAGGGGCAACUGAAAAAAGGAAAAAAAAAAGGAGGG
rnacentral:misc_RNA from 1 species